rnacentral:tRNA from 1 species
CGGUGAUUGGCGCAGCCUGGUAGCGCACUUCGUUCGGGACGAAGGGGCCGGAGGUUCGAAUCCUCUAUCACCGACCA